GAUGCUGUAUUGUCGGUGUUGCCAAGCUUAUCUCAAAAUCUAACCGAGCAACUGGUUGUGAAGCUCAUGGACCAAGGAGCCGAGGGUUUGGAUGAUUUGGUUUAUAUAAAAGAUGACAUUGCAGUGUUUAUACGACCUAUCCAAUGCAGAAAACUUCUUAGUGCCUGGAAAGUUCAAGAAAAUAAAAACAGCACUGUGGUUCUGCAGCCUGUUGAAUUUCUCCCCUUGGUUCCCCCUGAAACCACCUCUACUCUUGGUUCACCACUAUCAAGCUCCUCAAGCACAUCAGCAAGCAGCCCAGCAUCAACCAGUGUGUCACAUUCAUGGCCUGAAAAUUUCAAAGUUCCCUGGAACUUAAUGCCAGCAGGUAUACAGUGUGCUGUUACGAAUGGCCAGAGACCUUACCCUGCUGACUGAUGACAAAUGAUUAGAAUACUUGCUGAUGAAAUUACAAAACAUGACAACAACCCCACCAGAUCACAGUGUCUUACUAUUACUCGCCAAAUAGUCAGGCAGUAUCCAAAGACUUUUGCAGACAUGAUUGGUGACAGGCAGGUUGGUGGUGGAUAUGAAUCUCUUCUCUUACAGCUGAAAGUAUUCAUAGAGUCAUCAUCGGACCCAAAGUAAUGACACUGGAACUAGUAGAAAACGAAGUUCCAUUGACGCGUGUGGUUGUUCGAGAUGGCAGCCUGAUCUUCCACCUGGUGAAAGUUAUGACAGUCUUGAAGUGAAGCGUCAGAGGAUGGAGGAGAUAUAUCUUCAUGAAGGAAUCUCUGGAGCAGAGAAAGGAGAUGUUUGCAAGCUCAUGGAGGGGACCUAUUGCCUCCAGCGUCACAUGAUAAAUGCUACCCCAUCACCAAUCAUGACAGAUUUGAGAACCAAAUGGCCAUAUCUCUUCAUACAGAGGCAUAUAUAUGGCCAUUUUGAACUGCUCACUGACAAAAAAUGUGCUCAGACUUUUGGAAUUGUCAACUAAGGAGUGUGGACAAAUCAUUAUUCAGUUCUUUAAAAGCAAGCCAACCAACGACGAUGUUCGGACCAUACUUUCCAGAGGAUUUCAAGACGAUGUGGCUGCCAUGGUCCUACUGCUGCUCCUUGCAAACUUCAAAGAAAAGUAGAAUUCGCAACUCUGUCUGACGUCCAGCAAUCUCUACAUUUGCCAGAGAGUCCAUAAUUUAUAAUUCUUGGUCAACCUCUAAGCAACCAGCGGUGGAUGUUGAGCAUGGAAGGUCAAGUUGUGUGUGAAGGAGCACAGCCCAACUUUGUCUCUGGCCUUGUUGCGCUGUUUCCGCAUUCUACAAUUUCAACCUCCAGUAUCAAGAAGAAGCAGCGUGCACCCAUGAGUUUGUUCAGAGAUGCUUUAUCGACAUCAACCCUGAACGUGGUUCAAAAACCAAGAAAGGGAAAGUGACUUCCAAGAAGACUGGCAAGGUAGUGCAAAAAAAGAACAGUACUGUGAACCCGCACGUUUCCUCUCUUCUGCAAAAACGAAUGGACUUUGAAUGGGAUUUUGUUUAGAUCUUGCUUUUUAUUUUAUUUAUUUAUUUUUAUUUUUUUCAGGCUCUGUAAGUUUCUGGGUCAUUUCUGGAUGUUUCAUAUUACAUGAAAUGGGUUUAACACAAGAAGACACAUUCUGAAGAUGUUUAAAUUUGGGUUUCAACUGGAAUUUGACCAAAAUCUAAUAGACUUACUUUAAUAGUUAGUGAUUUGGGGAUUUAGUGGGAAGAUAUUACAGU